rnacentral:piRNA from 1 species
UAGUUGAGUUGAUGCAGACUGAGGAGGUC